UUCUUCGAGCUAUAACAACCUAAGGAAAAGUUCUAUGGUUGUAUAGCCGUUAGGGUUUAAAAGGAAAUCUUUUAAUCCUCCCAGUUUGGAAAGGAGACCAUUUAU
rnacentral:ncRNA from 1 species